CCUAAUCAGUGAACAGGAUGUGGGACGCAGUGCUGUCUUUAAUGAUGCAGAAACAUCAGAUUCAUGCCUGUUGUUUGCUCUGGUGCUGGGACGACUAAUUGAGACCUGGAGAACAUACAGUAACAGAUGGAACCAUGGGUUCAGUUCUCGAGCAGAAAAUACUGAAGGAGAAUAUCCAGCCACCAGUUUGUGCUCUUUAAGCUCAAGCACAUUCUUUGGCUCAAUAGGUUCCCACCUGGAUGAUUGUUCAAAUGAAACUGAGAAGGUGGGCGAUGCCGCAGGAUUUAGAGAAAAAGAAGAGCACCCAAAAGAAGAAAGCCACGGGUUGUCUUUUCAUCUCAAGCAUUCGGUUUAAUGUGAAUGUCAGGAGCUAACUGGAUACAAAAGGCACUGAAUUAGGCUGAUUGGGAUCAAACAUUAUGAAGGAGAAUAGUAAUAUAUAAUUAGACUGGCUAUAAUUUCUCUCUCUCUCUUUGUUCUUUGAUUGUGACAUUGGAGACUUGUGAUUAAUUCGUUUAAUCUAAUAGGAGAAAUGAAGAAAAGACUUGAAUAUAAUCAAAGAAUGCAUGACCUUUAAUUUGCACAAUAAAUGAUGUGGAUAUCUUACUUGUUAACAACAG